rnacentral:rRNA from 1 species
GCAAGUCGAACGAGAAAGCUUUAGCUUGCUAGAGCGAGUAAAGUGGCGCACGGGUGAGUAACGCGUGGGUAAUCUACCCUUGAAUUUGGGAUAACACUUCGAAAGGGGUGCUAAUACCGGAUAACAUCUUUUUUAUUGCGGUAGAAAAGAUCAAAGAUAGCCUCUACAUGUAAGCUAUUGUUUGAGGAUGAGCCCGCGUACCAUUAGCUUGUUGGUGGGGUAAUGGCCUACCAAGGCGACGAUGGUUAGCUGGUCUGAGAGGAUGAUC